UUUUCUUUGGCCGUUGGCCGUUUUGUCCCGAUCGGCCGGGGCCCUGGCUGCCGGCCUGUGGACUGUGCCCGGGAGGCUCCCCGGGCCUGUGGGCGUGAUGAGCGAGCGGACCGACCAGUCACGGCAGAAGAGUCGUGUCGGGGCCCCCCGACUGGACUCUGAGGCCCGGCGUCCCGAGUCCCCGGCGGAGCUGCAGGCCUCGACGUUCAGGAGCGCCGAGCGUUGGCAGGCGCCGAGUCUCCCUUCCGGAGCCCAGUGCGUUAAGAUGGAGACGGUGCAGGCAGAGGGAGCUGCGUGUGCGAAGGCUCGGGGGUGACACUGACCGGAGAACGCUCGGGACGUUUCUUGUCUUCCACCGCAGGGAACCAAGAGCGUGAGAGGAGUCCCGCCUCUGCUCCCGGGUCCUGGCAGUCAUAGUUUUUGGUAGAAGAGGGAUGUCCACGAUCCGAUUUAGGGUUUUGAAAGUAUCCCAGUGAAUACCCGGUAAACAGACUGAACACGCUGGUGGGAGAGCGGCUGUGGCCGGGCUGAAAACAGGGAGGCUCAUGAGGAUCCCGCUGCGGUGUUCAUCGGGACAGUUGCGGCGGCGGCCGGCCCGGAGCACACGUAGAAGACGUGAGAGAAGUGAUCGGAUUUCGGUUCGCUUUUCAAGGUGGAGCUGAUGGACUUCGUGCUACAUGGGAGGAGUGACUGGGCUCACCGUGGGAACAGCGGCGCCACCAGAAGUCUCUGGGGAGUGAAGGGUCCUGCUUACAGAAGCCCGGCAGUACCCUUAGCCCCAGGGUCCUGGAGCCCCAACGUUAGUGAAUGAGGUCACUGGCUGCCACGUGCAGAGUGGCCUGGGGAGAGUUGAGAGGGCUGAUCCAAGGACAUAGACGAAAGAAGAAGACCUAGGGGUGUGAGAAAGGAGCUGUCACAAACUGAUGAGUCUGUCAUGAGUCAGGCAGAACAGUGAGUACAACGGCUUGGUGCUGGGGCCCUAGGGGAAGUUUGUGCACCUGGGGCUAUUUUUCUCAUAGGUCACACUGUGGGGAGUGUCCAGGGAACCAUCUGGAAAUAGGGCAUAUACAGAUUGGAUGAUACCCAUUUCCCCUCCUACUUUAUGAUGCAGUGGCUGCAGUGCAGUGGCCAGUGGGUCUUGGGAGAAGGAGAAGGCCCUGAUGCUGGUACACUAGCGUUCCUUCUGAGGAGUUAGGGGUUAUAGCUGAGAGGUGUUAUAGGGGAGAGGGUUGCCAGGGGAGAGAGGAAGGUGCCCUGGGUUCUAGGCCUGGGGCUCGAAGAUUUCCACUCACGUGCCCUGAAGGACCAGCGGUCUUCCUCACUGCCAGGCCUGGUGACCCAAGGAUGUGGCCAUGUACCUCUAGGGAGGAGUGGAGACUCUUCACUGGCCCAGAAGAUCCUGUACCAGGACGGGAUGUUGGAUGACUUCACGUUCACAGCCUUACUGAGUGAAUCUCCUGCCUCUCCUUAUGUGUUCUUUUUCAGAGUUGUGGGCACUCACUUGUGCUGUCCCUGAGUCACUCCACCUUUGCUGCCCCAGGCUUGUGGUGGCUUGGGGAGAAAGGUCAAGGUUCUCUCCAUCUUUCCAACAAGCCAUUGGGUUUGGCUCCAUAGCAGGGUGUCUCUGUGCCACGGAUUCUGCUUUCUUGCUCCAGCAGAUACUUCCUUAGAAUUGCCACUGCCAGUCUCUGGGGGCCCUGUUGUCAUUGCUUGCAAAGGAUAGAUUGAACGAAGGGCCAGGAGCAGCCCCUGGCUAUUCCUGAAAAACCCCUCUCAAAGUUUCCUUUUGUGACGUCCUUCCUGCUUCCUUCUCACUAAUGGUAAAGAUGAAGCCAGCUUCUUGACUUCCGCAGACGGGUCAACGGUCAGGGCAGGCCCCUUUACCUGCCCUGUCCUCCACAGGACUCGUGGCCACUCCACCCCACAAGGUCAUUUUGCCAGAGCAUGACCUGGAGUUCUGGGCAUCUAGCUGGGAAGAUGCAAUUCUAGCCAUUGCAACAGAGUCCCAGAAGCGGUGGGCCUUGCUGAGUGAAAUUCAGGUACGGGCUGAGGCCUGGUCUAGGUUGAAUUGUGGCUGGCCAUGGUCCUGUUCCACAUCACUGUCCCAGCCUCAGUCCAACUUCUUACACCUUUCGGAACAUCCCGUCCUCUUGCUUCCUCUUCCUGACGUCUAGUUCCCACCUCUCCUCCCUCACGUUUCAUCUUGUAACUGCUCUCCCUAUGUCUGGUCCUCCAGUGUUGGCUUCUGUUUGGCUGUUAGGGUAUGUUCAUGUUUUGGUAAAUAACCCUUGGAAGCCUAACCCUAAGAAGUGACUGGAUGUUACAUCCGUGUCUGGGCUCUUCCUGUGCAGCGUUUGCCUGUCCCAGCAUCCCUACUUCAUUGUGUCUGCAGAGGGUGAGCCGCAGAUCCUGCCAGCCACAUUGAAUCUUUGACCCUGUUGAGAUAUUUUGCACUGGCCUGGCCAGAGCCUGUACCAACAGGACUUGCUCUUUUCCCCCUGAUCCUGGCCCCCUUCGUUUCUCAUGAACCCAGGGAAUCAGUUCUUAGCUUAUUAGACACCACGUAAUGAUGGAUCCAUCCUCACCCACCUACCAUGACCUACAGAAAGGGCAUUUCCCUAUUUUCAGGUAACUCAUGUGGAAGGGAAGAUAAGGAGACACUGUUGGAAUAAGAUGUUUCUAGAAAAAUCGUAUCGCAGGUCUGGACUCCCACUGCGGGUCCUUCUAGCCAGAAGGUCCACCCCUAUAACCCAGGUGGUUAAGUCUUCAGAGACUUUGUCCCUGGAGAAGCAUGGAAACAGACCUGGGCAGAAACUGCACACGUGUGGGGCGUGCAGGAGAGAAUUCUGGUUCCACUUAAACCUUCCACUGAAACAGCUGACUUCAGUAUGGAGAGAAACCUCUCACCUGUGAUGAGUGCAUGCUACAGAAAAGCUGUGCACAUGUAAGGAUGUCCUAGACAGCCAUGACCUAAGACCCACCCACCCGCGGUGAUAGGAAGCCGUUAAGGAGCACCAAGCUCAGGAAGGCCUUCCCACCCAGCCCCAAUAUUGGGCAGUUCCCAAAGUCCACACUGCAGAGAAGCCCUUCAAAUGCAGCAACUGGGGGACAGCCUUCGUGAAGAGCUCCACCCUCCUUAGCCACCUGACUCACCCUGAAGAGAGACUAUAUAGAUGCCCAGCAAAUAGAAAUGUCUGCAAGAAGAAAUCAGUGCUUGUUAGUCACCAAAAAAUUCACACUAGAGAAAUAUCCUAUGUGAGUCAGGAGAGUAGGAAGAACUUCAGCCACACCUGUAAACUGAAAAAGCAUGAGAAAAUUCACUCUGGGAAAAGGCCUUACAAGUGCAUGGAGUGCGGAAAAGCUUUCUGCCAAAGUUAUACUCUAAAUCAGCAGCAGAAGGUUCAUGCUGGUGAAAGGCCCUGAGUGUAGCAAAUGUGGGAAAGCCCUUGGCCACGUGUCUAACCUUAUGCAGUACCAGAAGGUUCACACUGGAGAAGGGCCCUAUGAGUGCAGCCAUUGUGGGAGAGCCUUUAGUGAAACCCGAGCCCUUGUUCAGCGCCAGAUUGUUUACAUCAAAGAAAGGCCAUGUGAAUGUGGCAGAUGUGGGAAAGCCUUCAACCACCAAUUCCACAUAAUUCCACACCAGAUGUUGCAAACAAGAAAGGCCUAUGAGUGCACCAAAUGUGGCAAAGCCUUGGGGCACCUGGGUGGCUCAGUCAGUUAAGCAUCUGCCUUCAGCUCGCGUCAUGCUCUCA